GAUGAACGCUAGCGACAGGCCUAACACAUGCAAGUCGAGGGGCAUCGGGGUGUAGCAAUACGCUGCCGGCGACCGGCGGAUGGGUGAGUAACGCGUAUGCAACCUGCCUUCAGCAGGGGGAUAGCCCGUUGAAAGACGGAUUAAUACCCCAUAACACAGGGGCUCCGCAUGGAGAUUAUUGUUAAAGGGAUACUUCCUUCGGGGGUAUUCCGGCUGAAGAUGGGCAUGCGUUCCAUUAGGUAGUUGGUUGAGGUAACGGCUCACCAAGCCUGCGAUGGAUAGGGGAACUGAGAGGUUGGUCCCCCACACUGGUACUGAGACACGGACCAGACUCCUACGGGAGGCAGCAGUGAGGAAUCUUGGUCAAUGGACGGAAGUCUGAACCAGCCAUGUCGCGUGAAGGAGGACGGCCCUAAGGGUUGUAAACUUCUUUUGCAGGGGAAUAAAGUAUUCCACGAGAUGGGAUAUUGCAAGUACGCUGCGAAUAAGGAUCGGCUAACUCCGUG
rnacentral:rRNA from 1 species